CGUAUCCCGAGGGUAGCACAAGCUGUGCUGAAGAGCUCAUGACCCUGGAGAGAAGGUGGAAAGGACGGCCGGGGUGUAGCUGAGUGGCGCGGUGGCUACCUGGUCCUGACUUCAAUCCCUGGUAUCCCCCCCCACCUCGCAAAAAAAACGAAAAAAGAUGAGAGGAAAUGUUCCAGAAUGUUAGCAGUGAUUUUUCUGGUGAAUAUCCUUUGCUUCCUGCUCUACCUGGAUGUCUGCUCUUCAGGAUUCAGACUCCCCUGAGAAUACAUUUGCCAGUCCUGUGUCAGCUGCCUUUGAUGUGUCUUCACUGUUCAUGGACUGCCUUUUCACACCGCAGAGACCCCUUUGAUUUCAGGAUUCUGAUUAUGCAAGGUUUAGAAGGAUCCCAGCCCUGCCAGGUAGCCCAAGGUGA
rnacentral:lncRNA from 1 species